UACGGAGGGUGCGAGCGUUGUCCGGAAUCAUUGGGCGUAAAGGGCGCGUAGGUGGCCUGGUCAGCGUGCGGUGAAAGCUCGGGGCUCAACCCCGAGUCGGCCGUGCGAACUGCUGGGCUUGAGCACUGUAGAGGCAGGCGGAAUUCCGGGUGUAGCGGUGGAAUGCGUAGAGAUCCGGAAGAACACCAGUGGCGAAGGCGGCCUGCUGGGCAGUUGCUGACGCUGAGGCGCGACAGCGUGGGGAGCAAACAGG
rnacentral:rRNA from 1 species